rnacentral:rRNA from 1 species
GGUAGAUAGGUUGGAGGUGGAAGUGCAGCAAUGCAUGGAGCUGACCAAUACUAAUCGGUCGAGGGCUUAUCCAAA